rnacentral:misc_RNA from 1 species
CGUCAACCGACAUUACACCAUGCGUAGAAGAUGUUAUAAGCCCGUGUUCCAUGGGUUCACCUCUCACUUUCAAUGCUUCUUCAGGAAGCACAGAUAAUGUCGAGUUUGGGAAAACUAGAUAUACAAAUGCCUUCAUUCUCUGUUCUUCUAGCUUGCUAGGGUCCAGUAGAAUAUGUCCACUCUCUGUUAGACAACAACAUAUUGCAACAGCAAGGUGCUUCAAAGGAAUGCCAG